UUGACAUAGUAGGAUAAAACUUUGUAGAAGAGCAUGUUAGGGAUGCUUGUGAUUUCAGAGUUGGGAUUUAAACAACCAGCUUUUUAGGGGGUUAUUUUGCAAAUUAGACAUAGUCUCUUCUUUUCUUGAGAUAAUAGGUCAUUCUAGAACUACAAAGUGGAUUUAAUGCAAGGAAUGAGCUUGUUGUCUAUUAAAUUUUUUUAAAUAAUGAAUUUAAAAUAUCAUAAACACAAUGGUAAUUUAAAAAAAUUGUUGCACAAUAAGCUCUAUUUAUGCAAUCAAAAGUAUUGUUGUGGUUUGUAUGUAUGUUGGAUGCAAAAAACUUACUCAUUUCUUGCAGAAGUUGCAAACUAGUAAUAUAUAUAUAUAUAUAUAUAUAUAUAUAUAUGUAUUUUAUUGGUUUUUCAAAAGAUUAAUAGGCAAUUUAAUACAAAAAUUAUCAAAUUGCAUAUUUCCUUUGAAAUUGUAAUUUAUUAAAUAAUUUAAAAAUCAUACUUGAAAAGUUUAAAAAUAACUUUAACUUAAUUUUUGUAUAAUUUAAAAAUACAUAUAUAUUUGCACAGCCAUAUUACAUAGUAUAAUUUAGAAUUUACAUUUUAAUUUAACAGACUUGUUAUUUGAAAUGAUAUUAUGUAAAGAUAUUAAAAAAAUUUAACAUACAAUUUAUUAUUAAAAAUUUAAAUCGUAAUAAAAUUUCAAUAAUUAAUUAUAUAUUUCAUAAAACCUGCAUAUACAUAAAAUAAAAAAUUACAAUCCUAAAAAUUUAUAAAUUUUAAUUUAUUUAUUUUUAUACAUCAAAUUUGUAUUUUUAAAAUUCUAACUAAAUUAUUUUAAUAUAUUUUUAUAUUAUCUAGUUUUAUAAAUUAUUAAAAAUUUAAUAUUAAAAAUAAUAUGUUUGUGAUAA
rnacentral:lncRNA from 1 species